ensembl:lncRNA
GUGUGUGUGUGUGGUUUAGUGUGUAGGUGUGGUUUAGUGUGUGUGUGAGGUGUGGUUUAGUGUGUGUGGUUUAGUGUGUGUGUGUGGUUUAGUGUGUGUGUGUGGUUUAGUGUGUGUGUGUGGUUUAGUGUGUGUGUGUGUGGUUUAGUGUGUGUGUGUGGUUUAGUGUGUAGGUGUGGUUUAGUGUGUAGGUGUGGUUUAGUGUGUGGGUGUGGUUUAGUGUGUGUGUGUGUGUGGUGUGGUUUAGUGUGUAGGUGUGGUUUAGUGUGUGGUGUGGUUUAGUGUGUGUGGUGUGGUUUAGUUGUGUGUGUGGUGUGGUUUAGUGUGUGUGUAGGUGUGGUUUAGUGUGUGUGUGUGGUGUGGUUUAGUGUGUGUGUGUGUGUGGUUUAGUGUGUGUAGGUGUGGUUUAGUGUGUGUGUGUGGUUUAGUGUGUGUGUGUGGUUUAGUGUGUGUGUGUAGGUGUGGUUUAGUGUGUGUGUGUGUGGUUUAGUGUGUAGGUGUGGUUUAG